AGGCAGCAGUGGGGGAUAUUGGACAAGUCGGGGGGAACCCUGAUCCAGCGACGCCGCGUGAGUGAAGAAGUAUUUCGGUAUGUAAAGCUCUAUCAGCAGGGAAGAAAGAAAUGACGGUACCUGAGUAAGAAGCCCCGGCUAACUACGUGCC
rnacentral:rRNA from 1 species